AUAUGAACAGUGAUUUCAGCAUGAAUAGUAUUUCCAGCUAUUCUUGAUGGGAUUGGAGGUUAAAAAGUUCUUUUUCUUUAUGACGAAGUGAGAGUGGAAAUCUCUAUUCCGGAAGAGUGCGGGUGCUAAUCCGGAAAGGAGGGAAUGCGAGGAUCACUGGAAGAUCGCAUGCGGGCUCGGAUGUUUGGGUGCUAAUGUGCUCGAUCAGAUCAUGGCAGGAUUGGGCCUGCGUGGUUUGGGGCCAUGAUGCAUCCCUCUAAACCCUACCAAAUGCGUAUUUAUACUAACCUGUGCCAAACAAAAAUAUAAUAUUAACUUAGUGAUUUUAUCGUUAUAUGUUAGCAGUAAUACUAAUUUAAGCAGCAUGUAGAUCACACUUUUGUGCUCUUAUCACACCCCCCAACUAGCUUAUUACUAGUCUCUAGCAAUUAACGAGUAAACGAUAAAAUGAGGGCACAAAAGAUGUAGUCUCACCCAUAACUUUUUAUUGAAGCUAAGUACAUAAAAAUGAGAUAUGUACCCAUUUUCGUAGAGCAUCACGAUUGCACUUAGCACGUGCAACAAGUCUUUAAACCCCUAGAUUAUCCUAGUGGACGAGCGUUGUCUCGUGAGGGUUUGCAGUGAAGUUACCCACAAACUUCAUCAGUCAGAAAUUUUCAAUUUUUAACUCAAAAUUUGAACAAGUAUUACUUAUGAAACUAGAAUUGCAAGGACAAUAGAGACUUGUUGCUAUCAUAUUUAAGCAGACUCUAACUCAAGUUUCAUUACACCCCAUUGAUGAGAGCACAAAAGUGCGACCUACAUGUUACUAAAAUUAGUGUUAUUGUUAACCGAUAAUGAUAAAUUCACUGGAUUAAUAUUAUAUUUGGGUUUAACAUAGAUUAGUAUAAAUUAGAGAUAAAAUGCACAUUGAGUACAAAUUUGACUUCAAAUCGGGUCCGAGUCGGGUUCGGAUCCGAGUCGGGUUUGGGUUCAAAUCGGGUCCAUUUCUUUUGUGCUUUUGGAAAAUAAUUUUGGGCAAAUCUAAAUUGGCUAUAUCAUAACUAUAAGGUGCUGGGUGACCCAUGACUUGAAAGAAUUGCACUUGACCUCCAGCCAGAAUAGAUGACCCA
rnacentral:lncRNA from 1 species